GACCGAGUGGUUGAAGGUACCGGUCUUGAAAACCGGCGUGCGGUAUCCCCGUACCGAGGGUUCGAAUCCCUCCCCUUCCGCCA
rnacentral:tRNA from 1 species